rnacentral:rRNA from 1 species
CAUGCAUGUCUAAGUAUAAAUUCUUGUACGAUGAAACUGCAGACGGCUCAAUACAACAGUGAUAAACUGCUAGACUUUCGGGUUUUUAACCUUUUGGAUAACCGCAGUAAAUCGGGGCUAAUACAUAGAAGCGAUGGGUGACUGGCAACGGAAGCUCAGCGAUUAUUAGCAUUACUACCAAUACCUUCGGGUCUUGUGGUGAAACCGAAUAAUAUUGCAGAUCGAGGAUUUAUCUUCGACAAGUCUACUGUGUCACUGCCCUAUCAACUUUCGAUGGUACGGUAUUGGCCUACCAUGGUUGUAACGGGUAACGGGGAAUUAGGGUUCGAUUCCGGAGAGGGAGCCUGAGAAAUGGCUACCACUUCUACGGAAGGCAGCAGGCGCGCAAAUUACUCAAUCCCAAUACGGGGAAGUAGUGACAAUAAAUAUCAAUACCUAUCCUUAAUUGGAGGGCAAUUGAAAUGAACACAAAUUAAAACUCUUAAUUAACACAAUUGGAGGGCAAGUCUGGUGCCAGCAGCCGCGGUAAUUCCAGCUCCAAUAGCAUAUACUAAAGUUGUUGCAGUUAAAAAGCUCGUAGUUGAAGUUAAAGUUUUAUUGGACUCAAGUUUUUUACCACUCUGGUGGCUAAAAUAACUCCAAUAAUUCUUUUUUUAAUAGCUCAGUUUCUAGGUCUUUGACUCUAGUUAUUUGGGCAUUUCACUGUGAGAAAAUUGUGGUGUUUAAAGCAGGCGUCUCGUCUGAUCUUUUGCAGCAUGGUAUGAUGGAACAUGACAUUUUACG